rnacentral:rRNA from 1 species
CCCAAAAUGACUCUCGGCAACGGAUAUCUCGGCUCUUGCAUCGAUGAAGAACGUAGCGAAAUGCGAUACUUGGUGUGAAUUGCAGAAUCCCGUGAACCAUCGAGUCUUUGAACGCAAGUUGCGCCCGAAGCCAUUAGGUUGAGGGCACGCCUGCCUGGGUGUCACA